GACGAACGCUGGCGGCGUGCUUAACACAUGCAAGUCGAACGGAAAGGCCCUGCUUUUGUGGGGUGCUCGAGUGGCGAACGGGUGAGUAACACGUGAGUAACCUGCCCUUGACUUUGGGAUAACUCCAGGAAACUGGGGCUAAUACCGGAUAGGAGCUCCUGCUGCAUGGUGGGGGUUGGAAAGUUUCGGCGGUUGGGGAUGGACUCGCGGCUUAUGCGCCUGUUGGUGGGGUAGUGGCUUACGAAGGUUUUGACGGGUAGCCGGCCUGAGAGGGGGGCCGGCCACAUGGGGACUGAGAUACGGCGCAGACGCGUACGGGAGGCAGCGGUGGGGAGUAUGGCACAGUGGGCGGACGCCUGAGGCAGCAACGCCGCGUGCGGGAUGACCGCCUUCUGGUUGUAAACCGCUUUCGCCGGUGACGAGGAGUGAGUGACGGUAAUGGGUAAAGAAGCACCGGCUAACUACGUG
rnacentral:rRNA from 1 species